CUGGGAAGUGUAGAAAUUUCGGAGCGUCACGUCAGUGUCUCCUCCAUCGCCGCCGCUGCGGACUGGAGGUGUGGGCUUCUUGCAGAGUAGGGCAGGGUAGGGUAGUGCGGAGUUGAGCGGAGCGGCGCUCUACUGCUCAGAGUUCAGUCGUAGGGCAGACUGGUAGGGGCAGCUGAAAAAUUGCUCUUAAGUUUAUACCCAUCUGUGUAUUUGACAUCACUUAUAUAUAUAUAUAUAAACACAGUCUAGAUUACUUAUUACGGUGUGUGAGCUACGGCAAAAAAAUAUUGUAAAUGAUUAUGGAAAGGAAGAGGAUGGACUGCCCGGCUUUACCCCCGGGGUGGAAGAAAGAAGAAGUGAUCCGGAAGUCCGGACUGAGUGCUGGCAAAAGCGAUGUCUACUACUACAGUCCCAGUGGUAAGAAAUUCAGGAGCAAGCCCCAGCUGUCUCGUUACUUGGGGAACACUGUUGAUCUCAGCUGUUUUGAUUUCCGCACUGGGAAAAUGAUGCCCAGUAAAUUACAGAAGAGCAAACAAAGACUGAGAAAUGAUACUCUUAGUCAAUCCAAGGGCAAACCAGACUUAAACACAGCACUUCCUAUAAGACAAACGGCUUCCAUUUUUAAGCAACCUGUAACAAAAAUAACCAACCAUGAACAUAAUAAAGUAAAGAGUGAUCCUCAGCGGGCCACUGAACAGCCACGUCAGCUUUUCUGGGAAAAGCGAUUACAAGGUUUAAGCGCAUCAGAUGUAACCGAACAGAUCAUUAAAACUAUGGAUCUUCCCAAAGGUUUACAAGCUGUUGGUCCAGCAAAUACAGACCGAACGUUGCUCUGUGCGAUUGCGAGUGCUCUGCAUACCAGCUCUGCACCAAUUACAGGACAGCUGUCUGCAGCAGUUGAGAAGAACCCAGCCAUAUGGCUGAACACAUCUCAGCCCCUCUGCCAAGCUUUUACGAUCACAGAUGAUGACAUUCGGAAACAAGAAGAAAAGGUCCAUCAGGUAAGGAAGAAGCUGGAAGAAGCACUAAUGGCUGAUAUUUUGGCUCGAGCUGCUGAGUCAACAAAGGAUACAAGUUUGCAGAUGGAUGGCAGAAGAAAUACAUAGGAACAGGUUUAGCCACUCCUGACGACAAAAGAGAUUCCCAAUAGAAGUCAAGUCAAAUGCCAGUGAGAAAAAUUCCUGUUUUUGCACCAGAAGGAAGACCUCAAAACUCCCAAGAAAAUACUGAUAAGCAUCAUGUCAAAUGAAACCAGGAGGGCCCAGGCGCAGUUGUGCUACCUUUCUAAUUACCAGCUUAAACCAAGGCAUCUUUUAAUUGUUUUGUUGUACAUAUCUAUAUAUUAUUUCAGAGUAAUGUUUAUUUUAUGGCCAAUAUGACUCAUUUUAUAUUGAAUAGCACAUUUUAAUGUAAUAAAUAAAUUAAUGAAAUAUACAUAAAUAUAAGCCAGACUGCAAUUUUCUGGAUAUGUAUUGGAAGUUUUUUUAGCUUUUUUUUUGUUGGUACUGCUUUUUUAACCAGAAAGGGAUAUAUUGUCAGGGUUUUUACUGAAAUGGACAUAAUUUUUGAACUGAUGGGCAUUUAUUUAACAAAAGAGAUUUAUAUUCUAAAUAGAGAGAAUCCCUGUACAUUCUUGUGUCUAUGUAAAGUAAAUAAAUGACUAUAUUCACAA